GACGUAGGGGGCAAGCGUUGUCCGGAUUUAUUGGGCGUAAAGAGCGUGUAGGCGGCCCGGUAAGUCCGCUGUGAAAGUCGGGGGCUCAACCCUCGAAUGCCGGUGGAUACUGUCGGGCUAGAGUGCGGAAGAGGCGAGUGGAAUUCCUGGUGUAGCGGUGAAAUGCGCAGAUAUCAGGAGGAACACCGAUUGCGAAGGCAGCUCGCUGGGACGUCACUGACGCUGAGACGCGAAAGCGUGGGGAGCAAACAGG
rnacentral:rRNA from 1 species